AUUGAACGCUGGCGGCAGGCCUAACACAUGCAAGUCGAACGAGUGGCGGACGGGUGAGUAAUGUCUGGGCAACUGCCCGAUGGAGGGGGAUAACUACUGGAAACGGUAGCUAAUACCGCAUACCAUCGGAUGUGCCCAGAUGGGAUUAGCUAGUAGGUGGGGUAACGGCUCUCCUAGGCGACGAUCCCUAGCUGGUCUGAGAGGAUGACCAGCCACACUGGGACUGAGACACGGUCCAGACUCCUACGGGAGGCAGCAGUGGGGAAUAUUGCGCAAUGGACGCAAGCCUGAUGCAGCCAUGCCGCGUGUAUGAAGAAGGCUUUCGGGUUGUAAAGUACUUUCGUCGGGGAGGCGUUACCCACAGAAGAAGCACCGGCUAACUCCGUGCCAGCCGCCGCGGUAAUAC
rnacentral:rRNA from 1 species